GACGAACGCUGGCGGCGUGCCUAAUACAUGCAAGUAGAACGCACAGUUUAUACCGUAGCUUGCUACACCAUAGACUGUGAGUUGCGAACGGGUGAGUAACGCGUAGGUAACCUGCCUGGUAGCGGGGGAUAACUAUUGGAAACGACAGCUAAUACCGCAUAAUAUUAAUUAUUGCAUGAUAAUUAAUUGAAAGGUGCAAUUGCACCACUACCAGAUGGACCUGCGUUGUAUUAGCUAGUAGGUGAGGUAACGGCUCACCUAGGCGACGAUACAUAGCCGACCUGGGAGGGUGAUCGGCCACACUGGGACUGAGACACGGCCCAGACUCCUACGGGAGGCAGCAGUAGGGAAUCUUCGGCAAUGGACGAGAGUCUGACCGAGCAACGCCGCGUGAGUGAAGAAGGUUUUCGGAUCGUAAAGCUCUGUUGUAAGAGAAGAACGGGUGUGAGAGUGGAAAGUUCACACUGUGACGGUAGCUUACCAGAAGGGGACGGCUAACUACGUG
rnacentral:rRNA from 1 species